rnacentral:rRNA from 1 species
GACAGAGGGUGCAAACGUUGUUCGGAAUUACUGGGCGUAAAGCGUGUGUAGGCGGUCACGUAAGUCGGAUGUGAAAGCCCUGGGCUCAACCCAGGAAGUGCACUCGAUACUGCGUGGCUUGAGUACUGGAGAGGUUGGUGGAAUUCUCGGUGUAGAGGUGAAAUUCGUAGAUAUCGAGAGGAACACCAGUGGCGAAGGCGAGUCCCUGGACAACUCCUGACACUGAGGCACGAAAGCUAGGGGAGCAAACAGG